CAUGGGUUAACCAGCAUUAAAGCCCUGUAUUCAAAUCAAGAUCUCUUGCCUCAUGCCUGUCACUGGAGGAGCUACAGUGAGAACUCAACUGCUCUGCAUGAGUAGACGAGGAAGACAGUACCAAAGAGCCGUGAUCCAUGGACAAGAAGGGACAUCUCUACAUCCAAGAGUGUGCAUCUGCUCCUGACAUUUACACAGCCGCAGCAUCCACAGAAGAAUCCAGGCGUCUUACCAUGAAUCCAGCUGAUGCAAAGAAGCUUAAACUAUUUCCCACAAGAGACUGACACAUUUUUGCCUUCAUAUUCAUACGUUCUCAUGGGUUAACCAGCAUUAAAGCCCUGUAUUCAAAUCAAGAUCUCUUGCCUCAUGCCUGUCACUGGAGGAGCUACAGCCAGUGUCACUGCGCCAAGGAAGGGAAUCUUCCCAACAGCCAGCGUCCCUGCUCACAGGGAGUGGAUCUUCCCAAAGGCCAGUGUUCCUGCACAGAGGGAGGGGAUCCUCCCCACAGCCAGCGUCCCUGUGGAGAAUGGAAACAAUCAUCCACAACCACCUCCCAUCAUCCCCAUGUUGGCACCACUGUGGAAAUGGGAUGGUGGAGUGUGUACUCCACCUGUGGAUUUCUAUUCCAAGAGAAGAGAUUGUCUGGGAUCCAACUCUGUACAGAUGGGUUGACAAAACUGAGCCCAAGGCUGAGAACAAGCUUGUACCACCAACUCCACCGAUGGGGAUGUAUGGAUUUCAGGGGAACCCUGGCAGUGUCCCCAAAGGAGUGAAUCCUUACUCCAUGAAAGCAGCAGGUCUAUGGGGCAGCAGAUACCCUACAAUGCAUUACACUGAUGGGACCAACUCAAAGCCUCCAAGCCAGGGGCCUGGACCACUUCCUCGACAGCUCUCUGGCCUGCUCCCUCCCUCACACUUUGACCUUAUGGCACCAAUGAUUGUGCCACCUGACACUCUACCCUACUGAUGUAUGAAUCUGGAAAAUCCUUCCAAAAUGUAUCCAUUCAUCAUUAACUGAGCUUUUACUUUAACAUAGCAAAAGGCUGAAGUAGCACGGAUGUUAACUAUUUUUCUUUUUGUCCAACAGGCCAACAGGCAAAUUCACCAAGAGUGAAUUUGCCCAUAUCCAUAAAUUGAUUUUUUUCAGCAUAAAAAAACGUCAGCAUUGAACAUUUAUUAAAAGAUCAUCUUUUAAUUAUAUCUCUCCUUCGGGUCGUCAUGUUCAAUUUAAUUUGAUGUGUUCUAUCAUAAUUUACCAUGCUCAUUGCUUGUGCAUUGCUUUACGUUACAUACUGUACAGACAAGUAUAUUUGACACACAACAAACCCAUCUAAUGACA